rnacentral:rRNA from 1 species
UGAGGAAUAUUGGUCAAUGGGCGAGAGCCUGAACCAGCCAAGUAGCGUGCAGGAUGACGGCCCUAUGGGUUGUAAACUGCUUUUAUGUGGGGAUAAAGUGCGUGACGUGUCAUGCAUUGCAGGUACCACAUGAAUAAGGACCGGCUAAUUCCGUGCCAGCAGCCGCGGUAAUACGGAAGGUCCGGGCGUUAUCCGGAUUUAUUGGGUUUAAAGGGAGCGUAGGCUGUCUAUUAAGCGUGUUGUGAAAUUUACCGGCUCAACCGGUGGCUUGCAGCGCGAACUGGUCGACUUGAGUAUGCAGGAAGUAGGCGGAAUUCAUGGUGUAGUGGUGAAAUGCUUAGAUAUCAUGACGAACUCCGAUUGCGCAGGCAGCUUACUGUAGCAUAACUGACGCUGAUGCUCGAAAGUGCGGGUAUCAAACAGG